rnacentral:rRNA from 1 species
CAGCAGCCGCGGUAAUACGUAGGUCCCGAGCGUUGUCCGGAUUUAUUGGGCGUAAAGCGAGCGCAGGCGGUUAGAUAAGUCUGAAGUUAAAGGCUGUGGCUUAACCAUAGUACGCUUUGGAAACUGUUUAACUUGAGUGCAAGAGGGGAGAGUGGAAUUCCAUGUGUAGCGGUGAAAUGCGUAGAUAUAUGGAGGAACACCGGUGGCGAAAGCGGCUCUCUGGCUUGUAACUGACGCUGAGGCUCGAAAGCGUGGGGAGCAAACAGGAUUAGAUACCCCUGUAGUCCCUGUCUCUUAUACA